GUACGGGGGGAGCAAGCGUUGUUCGGAUUUACUGGGCGUAAAGGGCGCGUAGGCGGUCAGCACAAGUCAGUUGUGAAAUCUCCGGGCUUAACUCGGAAAGGUCAACUGAUACUGUGCGACUAGAGUGCAGAAGGGGCAACUGGAAUUCUCGGUGUAGCGGUGAAAUGCGUAGAUAUCGAGAGGAACACCUGCGGCGAAGGCGGGUUGGCUGGGCUGACACUGACGCUGAUGCGCGAAAGCCAGGGGAGCGAACGGG
rnacentral:rRNA from 1 species